GUGGCGAUGGCCGAGCGGCUCCAGGCAGUGGACCGUGAAUCCACGAACGAGGGUUCGACUCCCUCUCGCCGCCCCA
rnacentral:tRNA from 1 species